rnacentral:rRNA from 1 species
CUUUAUUGGAGAGUUUGAUCCUGGCUCAGGACGAACGCUGGCGGCAUGCCUAAUACAUGCAAGUCGAGCGGACUUGAAGAGAAGCUUGCUUCUCUGAUAGUUAGCGGCGGACGGGUGAGUAACACGUAGGCAACCUGCCCUCAAGCUUGGGACAACUACCGGAAACGGUAGCUAAUACCGAAUACUUGUUUUCUUCGCCUGAAGAGAACUGGAAAGACGGA